GCGUUGCAUUUGAUAAUCAUGAGUAAUUUUAAUGUUUUGUCAUUUAGUCUGCAUCUCUCUGGUCUGUACACUUUGACAACCAUUCUAAAAAGUAUUUCUAUAGGAGCUAAUGUGGCAUAUAUCGCUUGAUUAGAACAUGGAGGUAUUAUACUUCCAUAAUAUGUAGAUGUGUUGAUAGAAGAGAAAAUUAGUUCCUAUCAACUUGCCAAUACAUUAAGGGGUAUUUUGACAUCUCAGAAAUGAAG
rnacentral:lncRNA from 1 species